UAUUAAAAAUUUCAUCCAUUUCUAUUGUUAAAAAUUGGUAUGGUUGAUGAGAUAACCAGAUAGUUACACGUGGUGUGCACGUGUAUCUUAUGUUAAUGUAUAAAGACCAAUUUUUAAUAGAAAAAUGGAUGGAAUGUUUAGCA
rfam:Gossypium raimondii Chr06_contig_526, whole genome shotgun sequence.